UACGUAGGGGGGCUAGCGUUGUCCGGAUUUAUUGGGCGUAAAGAGCGUGUAGGCGGCCAGGUAGGUCUGCUGUGAAAACUCGAGGCUCAACCUCGAGACGUCGGCGGAAACCAUCUGGCUAGAGUACUGCAGGGGAGACUGGAAUUCCUGGUGUAGCGGUGAAAUGCGCAGAUAUCAGGAGGAACACCGGUGGCGAAGGCGGGUCUCUGGGCAGUAACUGACGCUGAGGAGCGAAAGCGUGGGGAGCGAACAGGA
rnacentral:rRNA from 1 species